GACGAACGCUGGCGGCGUGCCUAAUACAUGCAAGUAGAACGCACAGUUUAUACCGUAGCUUGCUACACCAUAGACUGUGAGUUGCGAACGGGUGAGUAACGCGUAGGUAACCUGCCUGGUAGCGGGGGAUAACUAUUGGAAACGAUAGCUAAUACCGCAUAAUAUUGAUUAUUGCAUGAUAAUUGAUUGAAAGAUGCUAUUGCAUCACUACCAGAUGGACCUGCGUUGUAUUAGCUGGUAGGUGAGGUAACGGCUCACCUAGGCGACGAUACAUAGCCGACCUGAGAGGGUGAUCGGCCACACUGGGACUGAGACACGGCCCAGACUCCUACGGGAGGCAGCAGGAGGGAAUCUUCGGCAAUGGACGAAAGUCUGACCGAGCAACGCCGCGGGAGGGAAGAAGGGUUUCGGAUCGGAAAGCUCUGUUGUAAGAGAGGAACGGGUGUGAGAGUGGAAAGUUCACACUGUGACGGUAUCUUACCAGAAAGGGACGGCUAACUACGUG
rnacentral:rRNA from 1 species